GACAGAGGUCCCGAGCGUUAGGCGGAAUCACUGGGCUUAAAGCGUGUGUAGGCGGAUCGUUAAGUGCCUUGUGAAAUCCCAUGGCUUAACCAUGGAACUGCUUGGCAUACUGGCGAUCUUGAGCCACUUAGGGGGCAACCGGAACAAAUGGUGGAGCGGUGAAAUGCGUAGAUAUCAUUUGGAACGCCAAUGGUGAAAACAGGUUGCUGG
rnacentral:rRNA from 1 species